AGUGAACGCUGGCGGUAGGCCUAACACAUGCAAGUCGAACGGCAGCACAGUAAGAGCUUGCUCUUACGGGUGGCGAGUGGCGGACGGGUGAGGAAUACAUCGGAAUCUACUUUUUCGUGGGGGAUAACGUAGGGAAACUUACGCUAAUACCGCAUACGACCUACGGGUGAAAGCAGGGGAUCUUCGGACCUUGCGCGAUUGAAUGAGCCGAUGUCGGAUUAGCUAGUUGGCGGGGUAAAGGCCCACCAAGGCGACGAUCCGUAGCUGGUCUGAGAGGAUGAUCAGCCACACUGGAACUGAGACACGGUCCAGACUCCUACGGGAGGCAGCAGUGGGGAAUAUUGGACAAUGGGCGAAAGCCUGAUCCAGCAAUGCCGCGUGGGUGAAGAAGGCCUUCGGGUUGUAAAGCCCUUUUGUUGGGAAAGAAAAGCAGCAGGUUAAUACCCCGCUGUUCUGACGGUACCCAAAGAAUAAGCACCGGCUAACUUCGUG
rnacentral:rRNA from 1 species